rnacentral:rRNA from 1 species
CUUGGUCAUUUAGAGGAAGUAAAAGUCGUAACAAGGUUUCCGUAGGUGAACCUGCGGAAGGAUCAUUAUUGAAUAAACUUGGUCGGGUUGCUGCUGGCCUCUCGGGGCAUGUGCACGCCUGCCGCCAUUUUUAACCACCUGUGCACCCUUUGUAGACCUGGAUACCUCUCGAGGAAACUCGGUUUGAGGACUGCUGCGCGAAAGCCUGGCUUUCCUUGCAUUUCCGGUCUAUGUCUUUAUAUAACCCCAUACGAAUGUAACAGAAUGUCAUUAAUGGCCUUUGCGCCUUUAAAUCAAAUACMACYUUCAACAACGGAUCUCUUGGCUCUCGCAUCGAUGAAGAACGCAGCGAAAUGCGAUAAGUAAUGUGAAUUGCAGAAUUCAGUGAAUCAUCGAAUCUUUGAACGCACCUUGCGCUCCUUGGUAUUCCGAGGAGCAUGCCUGUUUGAGUGUCAUUAAAUUCUCAACCUUUCCAGCUUUUAACGGCGGGACAAGGCUUGGAUGUGGGGGCUGCGGGCUUCUCAGAAGUCGGCUCUCCUUAAAUGUAUUAGCGAAACCUUUGCUGACCAUCUUUGGUGUGAUAAUUAUCUACGCCACUGGGAAGCAGCUUUAACAUGGGGUUUGGCUUCUAAUCGUCCGUCACUGGACAACUUUUUGACAUUUUGACCUCAAAUCAGGUAGGACUACCCGCUGAACUUAAGCAUAUCAAUAAGCGGAGGAAAAGAAACUAACAAGGAUUCCCCUAGUAACUGCGAGUGAAGCGGGAAAAGCUCAAAUUUAAAAUCUGGUGGUCCUUGUGGCCGUCCGAGUUGUAAUCUAGAGAAGCGUUAUCCGCGCCGGACCGUGUACAAGUCUCCUGGAACGGAGCGUCAUAGAGGGUGAGAAUCCCGUCUUUGACACGGACUACCGGGGCUUUGUGAUGCGCUCUCAAAGAGUCGAGUUGUUUGGGAAUGCAGCUCUAAAUGGGUGGUAAAUUCCAUCUAAAGCUAAAUAUUGGCGAGAGACCGAUAGCGAACAAGUACCGUGAGGGAAAGAUGAAAAGAACUUUGGNNAGAGAGUUAAACAGUCCNUUAAAGGGUUGAAAGGGAAACGCUUGAAGU